rnacentral:rRNA from 1 species
GAUGAACGCUAGCGGCAGGCUUAACACAUGCAAGUCGAGGGGUAUAGUUCUUCGGAGCUAGAGACCGGCGCACGGGUGCGUAACGCGUAUGCAAUCUACCUUUUGCAGAGGGAUAGCCCAGAGAAAUUUGGAUUAAUACCUCAUGGUAUGUGAGAAUGGCAUCAUUUUCACAUUAAAGUCACAACGGCAAAAGAUGAGCAUGCGUCCCAUUAGCUAGUUGGUAAGGUAACGGCUUACCAAGGCAACGAUGGGUAGGGGUCCUGAGAGGGAGAUCCCCCACACUGGUACUGAGACACGGACCAGACUCCUACGGGAGGCAGCAGUGAGGAAUAUUGGACAAUGGGCGCAAGCCUGAUCCAGCCAUGCCGCGUGCAGGAUGACGGUCCUAUGGAUUGUAAACUGCUUUUGUACAGGAAGAAACACUGGUUCGUGAACCAGCUUGACGGUACUGUAAGAAUAAGGAUCGGCUAACUCCGUGCCAGCCGCCGCCGUAAUAC